UCCCCUGUCGAGCUUCCAUGUGGCCGCCUCUCUCUCAGCGGUGGUUGAUUGUCGGAGGGACCAGCGGCCGUGGCCCGGGGCCGCUCCUCAUCCGUACAUCGCCGCCACGCCGAAGUGCUCUAUCGUUCCUCCGCGUUGCAGUCCCUCUACUGGACGUUGGGUGCCAAAGCCAGCAGUGUCGCCGCCUGCUUCGGAUCUGGGAGCGCGGCGCCGGCAGCUAGGCCUGCCGGCGGCGCACCGGCACGCUGAUAUGGCCAAGCGGGGAUUUCCAGCGUCGGAGCGGCCCCCACCGGCCACUCGGUCGCCCGUACUGCCUGCGCUCGCGCUCCAGGACUCCUUGGACACGCUGGUCUGCGCCCGCCGGUGAGGUCGAGCAGCGUCCUGCUCCGGCGGAUAGAAGACGGGGGCAGCAGGCUUUAUUUUGUCCUCUGGUCGGUUCUGCCUUGCAGCUCCCGAUCGUUUCUGCUCUGUACAUUGCAUCUCCCAUCUGGCAGUUCAGUUCGUGGAUUGCAUAAGGUUCCUACCUUCGUUUCACCAGAAAAGAAGCCGUGGCAUUCAAUUAGCAUGCUUGCAGAGCCUCAAAGUUGUGGAGUGAGAUGAUGGGUGGUGUACAAAGCACUCUGCGCAGGGCAUACAGGUUAUGUGCACGAAGCUCAUUACUAUGAUGAAUUCAGAGAUCAUGCAGGUUCGAGUGCCAUUUAUGUCCCUCUUAGAAAGAUCGAGGAGAUGAUAGUGGGUAUUCAAUCAGAUUAGUUGGCAUGCCAUGCACUAGACUGAAUGAACUACUGAGAUCAGGUCAAUGGGCUUCGGACAUUACUUUGACUACUAGAAGAUUUAGGAUGGUUGAUUGUUUUCUGCAAGGCUCAUUCGGACAUUACUAUUAUGUCUGAGAAAUCAAUUCUCAGUCAUUACGUGUGGCAAUGAUGGUGAAAGUAUGUUAUGUAGCUCCUCCAUUGGCUGCAAAUGCUGGAGGUUUUCAAACUGGUAUAUGAUCAUAAUUAAGUCAGAGUGGUGAUCUUUUUUAAAUGUAACAUGGUGCUAUGUACAGUCUAGAUACUGUAGUUGAUACUUGGGAUAUCCGAGACAUAUCUGUGAGAAUUUUAAGGUGUUGCCAAUAAUGUCAUUGUUCAAUGCCUAUUUAUGGCUUUUGUGAUUCAAUUUCACAUAUAGAAAUAUAUUUAUAUUUUUU